rnacentral:rRNA from 1 species
UACGUAGAGUGCGAGCGUUGUCCGGAAUUAUUGGGCGUAAAGGGCUCGUAGGCGGUUUGUCGCGUCGGGAGUGAAAUCCACUGGCUUAACUGGUGGCUUGCUUUCGAUACGGGCAGACUGGAGGUAUGCAGGGGAGAACGGAAUUCCUGGUGUAGCGGUGAAAUGCGCAGAUAUCAGGAGGAACACCGGUGGCGAAGGCGGUUCUCUGGGCAUUACCUGACGCUGAGAAGCGAAAGUGUGGGGAGCGAACAGG